rnacentral:rRNA from 1 species
GACGAACGCUAGCGGUGGGCUUAACACAUGCAAGUCGAACGGAAAGGCCCGGCUUCUGUCGGGUGCUCGAGUGGCGAACGGAUGGGUAAGACGUGAGUAACCUGCCCUCGACUUUGGGAUAGCUUCAGGAAACUGAGGCUGACACCGGAUAGGAACGCCUGCUGCAUGGCGUGGGUUGGAAAGGUUCGGAGGUUGGGGAUGGACUCGCGGGUGACCAACUAGCUGGUGGGGUAGUGGAUUACCAAGGGAUGGACGGGUAGCAGGCCCGAGAGGGUGACUGGCCACAUUGGGACUGAGCUACGGCCCGGAGUCCUGCGGGAGGCAGCAGUGGGGAAUCUUGCACGAUGGGCGGAAGCCGCAUGCAGCAACGCCGCGUGCUGGAUGGUGACCUUCUGGUUGUAGGCCGCUUUCGGCUGUGACGAAGCGUGACUGCAGGUAAUGGGUAAAUAAGCACCGGCUAACUAUGUG